UGAGUACGAGAUGCUACGGCAUCGAAGCAGUCUAUGUCAUACUUCCAAGAAAAGCUUGCACUGUCAUAAACAAAUAAUGCCUGUACCAUAACCGACACAGGUGGGUAGGUAGAGUAUACUAAGGGGCGCGAGAUAACUCUCUCUAAGGAACUCGGCAAAAUGACUCCGUAACUUCGGGAGAAGGAGUGCCUUAUUUUAUAAGGUUGCAAUAACAAGAUCCAAGCAACUGUUUACCAAAAACACAGGUCUCCGCUAAGUCGUAAGACGAUGUAUGGGGGCUGACGCCUGCCCAGUGCCAGAAGGUUAAAGAAGUUGGUUAGCAUUAGCGAAGCUGAUAACUGAAGCCCUGGUGAACGGCGGCCGUAACAAUAACGGUCCUAAGGUAGCGAAAUUCCUUGUCGGGUAAGUUCCGACCCGCACGAAAGGCGUAAUGAUUUGGAUACUGUCUCGGAGAGGGGCUCGGUGAAAUAGACUUGUCUGUGAAGAUGCGGACUACCUGCACCUGGACAGAAAGACCCUAUGAAGCUUUACUGUAACUUGAGAUUGAAAUUGGACUUUAUUUGCGCAGUAUAGGUGGGAGACGUUGAAAAUAUUCUUGCGGGAAUAUUGGAGUCAUCAGUGAGAUACCACUCUUAUAAUGUUAGAUUUCUAACUUUGUAUCAUUAUCUGGUCAAAGAACAGUCUCAGGCGGGCAGUUUGACUGGGGCGGUCGCCUCCCAAACGGUAACGGAGGCGCACAAAGGUUUCCUCUGAACGUGUAGAAAUCGUAUCUAGAGUGUAAAGGCAUAAGGAAGCUUGACUGUGAGACCUACAAGUCGAGCAGGGACGAAAGUCAGUCUUAGUGAUCUGACGGUGCUGAGUGGAAAGGCCGUCACUCAACGGAUAAAAGUUACUCUAGGAUAACAGGCUGAUCUCCCCCAAGAGUUCACAUCGACGGGGAGGUUUGGCACCUCGAUGUCGGCUCAUCGCAUCCUGGGGCGGUAGUACGUCCCAAGGGUUGGGCUGUUCGCCCAUGAAAGCGGUACGCGAGCUGGGUUCAGAACGUCGUGAGACAGUUCGGUCCAUAUCCGGUGUAGGCGUUAGAAUAUUGAGAGGAGCCUUCUUUAGUACGAGAGGACCGAGAAGGACAUACCUCUGGUGUACCAGUUAUCGUGCCAACGGUAAACGCUGGGUAGCUAUGUAUGGAGAGGAUAACCGCUGAAAGCAUCUAAGUGGGAAGCCCACCUCAAGAUAAG
rnacentral:rRNA from 1 species